UGGACGGGUGAGUAACGCGUGGAAAACCUGCCGUAUACUGGGGGAUAACACUUAGAAAUAGGUGCUAAUACCGCAUAAGCGCACAGCUUCGCAUGAAGCGGUGUGAAAAACUCUGGUGGUAUACGAUGGUUCCGCGUCUGAUUAGCUAGUUGGUGGGGUAAUGGCCUACCAAGGCAACGAUCAGUAGCCGGCCUGAGAGGGUGAACGGCCACAUUGGGACUGAGACACGGCCCAAACUCCUACGGGAGGCAGCAG
rnacentral:rRNA from 1 species